rnacentral:rRNA from 1 species
CAGCAGCCGCGGUAAAACGUAGGUGGCAAGCGUUGCCCGGAAUUAUUGGGCGUAAAGGGCUCGCAGGCGGUUUCUUAAGUCUGAUGUGAAAGCCCCCGGCUCAACCGGGGAGGGUCAUUGGAAACUGGGAAACUUGAGUGCAGAAGAGGAGAGUGGAAUUCCACGUGUAGCGGUGAAAUGCGUAGAGAUGUGGAGGAACACCAGUGGCGAAGGCGACUCUCUGGUCUGUAACUGACGCUGAGGAGCGAAAGCGUGGGGAGCGAACAGGAUUAGAUACCCCCGUAGUCCCUGUCUCUUAUAC